rnacentral:rRNA from 1 species
CCUACGGGGGGCUGCAGUGGGGAAUAUUGGACAAUGGGGGGAACCCUGAUCCAGCCAUGCCGCGUGUGUGAAGAAGGCCCUCGGGUUGUAAAGCACUUUCAGUGAGGAAGAACGCCUGGUGGUUAAUACCCAUCAGGAAAGACAUCACUCACAGAAGAAGCACCGGCUAACUCCGUGCCAGCAGCCGCGGUAAUACGGAGGGUGCGAGCGUUAAUCGGAAUUACUGGGCGUAAAGCGCGCGUAGGUGGCUUGAUAAGCCGGUUGUGAAAGCCCCGGGCUCAACCUGGGAACGGCAUCCGGAACUGUCGAGCUAGAGUGCAGGAGAGGAAGGUAGAAUUCCCGGUGUAGCGGUGAAAUGCGUAGAGAUCGGGAGGAAUACCAGUGGCGAAGGCGGCCUUCUGGACUGACACUGACACUGAGGUGCGAAAGCGUGGGUAGCAAACAGGAUUAGAUACCCUUGUAGUC